GUGGGGAAUUUUGGACAAUGGGCGCAAGCCUGAUCCAGCAAUGCCGCGUGCAGGAAGAAGGCCUUCGGGUUGUAAACUGCUUUUGUACGGAACGAAACGGUCCUGGUUAAUACCUGGGGCUAAUGACGGUACCGUAAGAAUAAGCACCGGCUAACUACGUGCCAGCAGCCGCGGUAAUACGUAGGGUGCGAGCGUUAAUCGGAAUUACUGGGCGUAAAGCGUGCGCAGGCGGUGCUGUAAGACAGGCGUGAAACCCCCGGGCUCAACCUGGGAAUUGCGCUUGGGACUGCAGUGCUGGAGUACGGCAGAGGGGGAUGGAAUUCCGCGUGUAGCAGUGAAAUGCGUAGAUAUGCGGAGGAACACCGAUGGCGAAGGCAGUCCCCUGGGCCUGUACUGACGCUCAUGCACGAAAGCGUGGGGAGCAAACAGGAUUAGAUACCCGAGUAGUCC
rnacentral:rRNA from 1 species